rnacentral:rRNA from 1 species
GACGAACGCUGGCGGCGUGCCUAAUACAUGCAAGUCGAACGCAGUGGGGACGGGUGAGUCACACGUGGGUAACCUGCCAUCAGAGGGGAAAACACUUGGAAACAGGUGCUAAACCGAUACUGAUGGAUGGACACUGGGUGCAUGGGCUAGUUGGUGAGGUACCGGCUCACCAAGGCCACGCUGCAUAGCCGACCUGAGAGGGGGACCGGCCACACUGGGACUGAGACACGGCCCAGACUCCUACGGGAGGCAGCAGUAGGGAAUCUUCGGCAAUGGACGAAAGGCUGACCGAGCAACGCCGCGUGUGUGAAGAAGGUCUUCGGAUCGUAAAGCUCUGUUGUUAGAGAAGCGGUAUCUAACCAGAAAGCCACGGCUAACUACGUGCCAGCAGCCGCGGUAAUUC